ACGAACGCUGGCGGCGUGCUUAACACAUGCAAGUCGAACGGAAAGGCCCUGCUUUUGUGGGGUGCUCGAGUGGCGAACGGGUGAGUAACACGUGAGUAACCUGCCCUUGACUUUGGGAUAACUUCAGGAAACUGGGGCUAAUACCGGAUAGGAGCUCCUGCUGCAUGGUGGGGGUUGGAAAGUUUCGGCGGUUGGGGAUGGACUCGCGGCUUAUCAGCUUGUUGGUGGGGUAGUGGCUUACCAAGGCUUUGACGGGUAGCCGGCCUGAGAGGGUGACCGGCCACAUUGGGACUGAGAUACGGCCCAGACUCCUACGGGAGGCAGCAGUGGGGAAUAUUGCAGAAUGGGCGGAAGCCUGAUGCAGCAACGCCGCGUGCGGGAUGACGGCCUUCGGGUUGUAAACCGCUUUCGCCUGUGACGAAGCGUGAGUGACGGUAAUGGGUAAAGAAGCACCGGCUAACUACGUG
rnacentral:rRNA from 1 species